rnacentral:tRNA from 1 species
GUGGUUGUGGCUCAGUGGUAGAGUACCUGCCUAGCAUGUAUGAGGCACUGGGUUCAAUCCUCAGGACCACA